CUACCAUGGCGUUUACGGGUAACGGAGGAUUAGGGUUCGAUUCCGGAGAGGGAGCCUGAGAAACGGCUACCACAUCUAAGGAUGGCAGCAGAGGCGUAAAUUACCCAAUCCUGACUCAGGGAGGUAGUGACAAGAAAUAACAGCCUAUAUACUACGUAUCUAGGAUUGCAAUGAACCGAUUUUUUUUCCCUUGGUGAGGAACAAUUGGAGGGCAAGUCUGGUGCCAGCAGCCGCGGUAAUUCCAGCUCCAAUAGCAUAUAUUAAUGUUGUUGCAGUUAAAAAGCUCGUAGUUGGAUUUCUGCAGGAGUGCCAAUGUCCGACCACGUUCGUGUGCAGCGGCGCCCCUGCAUCCUUCGGUUACCUCCGCUCGGCAUUCACUUGCCGGCGGUUGGCUCCGAAUAUUUACCUUGAGAAAAUUAGAGUGUUUCAGGCAGGCUUGUCCGGAAUACAUUAGCAUGGAAUAAUAGAAUAGGACUACGGUCUCGUUGUUGGUUUGAGGGACUGGAGUAAUGAUUAAUAGGGAUAGUUGGGGGCAUUAGUAUUUAAUUGUCAGAGGUGAAAUUCUCAGAUUAACUAAAGACUAACUUAUGCGAAAGCAUUUGCCAAGGAUGUUUUCAUUAAUCAA
rnacentral:rRNA from 1 species